CUGGAAAGUUUGUGGCUUUGCCCUGCUCCCCACGUGUUUUGUGGAAUUACAAAAUAUAUAUUAAAAAAAUGAGUACUACAUUCUUUGACAAUUAUAUGGCAGCUGAAGAAGUAGGGGCAUUGAGGAAUGCAGGAUACCUCCAAAUUUUUAUAUUAAUAGGUACUGUCAUUUUUGUACUCCUCAAUACUAUAUUUAGAGAUGAAAAAAUAAAAAAAAUUGAGGAUAAAAUAAAACAAAAUGAGGAUAAAAUAAAACAAAAUGAGGAUAAAAUAGAAAAUAUUGAGGAUAAAAUAGAAAAUGUUGAGGAUAAAAUAGAAAAAAAUGAGGAUAAAAUAGAAAAUAUUGAGGAUAAAAUAGAACAUAUUGAGGAUAAAAUAGAAAAAAUUGAGGAUAAAAUAGAAAAACUUGAGGAUAAAAUAGGAAAUAUUGAGAAUAAAAUAGGAAAUAUUGAGGAUAAAAUGGGAAAUAUGGAGGAUAAAAUAGGAAAAAUUGAGGAUAAAAUGCAAGCCCAAUUAGAAGAUCUAAAAAGUUUCUUACAGGAUCAAUUGGCAAACAACCACUCUACCAGAAACAGACCUGUUUCUGAACCUUUGAAUGAGGAAAUUUCCUUCCCUGAAAUAGAGAUGGAAACCACCUUUCCUAUAGCCCAGUUAACAGACUGCUUCUCUCGUGUAGUGCAAAUCUUGUCUGAAUUUAAUCCCCAAAACCCUUCCCCUGCAAUUCCAGCUUCUCAUGUUCCUUCUCCUACAGAAAACCAAAUUCCAAUGCAAGGGAGAUCUUGUCCUCCUAGAGAAACCUGUCCUUGUCAAACUGACCCACAGGUGCAAAAUUCAACUAGAGGCCUGUUUCCUCUAAGAGAAGUACCUGAAAUAGGAUGGAAUGGGGAUGUGGUAACUUUAAGACAUAGGAUACCGUUUACUCUGAAUUUACACGAAAUAUCCCCACAUAUGAACAAGAUCCUUUUCUAGUAACAAAAAAGAUGGGAGACAUAUUUUUUCAGUAUAAUCCAUCUUACAAGGACGUUGAGAACUUAC
rnacentral:lncRNA from 1 species